UACGGGGGGGGCAAGCGUUGUUCGGAAUUACUGGGCGUAAAGGGCUCGUAGGCGGCCAACUAAGUCAGACGUGAAAUCCCUCGGCUUAACCGGGGAACUGCAUCUGAUACUGGAUGACUUGAGUUUGGGAGAGGGAUGCGGAAUUCCAGGUGUAGCGGUGAAAUGCGUAGAUAUCUGGAGGAACACCGGUGGCGAAGGCGGCAUCCUGGACCAACACUGACGCUGAGGAGCGAAAGCCAGGGGAGCAAACGGG
rnacentral:rRNA from 1 species